rnacentral:rRNA from 1 species
GACAGAGGGUGCAAACGUUGUUCGGAAUUACUGGGCGUAAAGCGCGUGUAGGCGGCUAAGUAAGUCGGGCGUGAAAUCCCACGGCUCAACCGUGGAAGUGCACUCGAAACUGCGUAGCUAGAGUCCUGGAGAGGAAGGUGGAAUGCUUGGUGUAGAGGUGAAAUUCGUAGAUAUCAAGCGGAACACCGGUGGCGAAGGCGGCCUUCUGGACAGUGACUGACGCUGAGGCGCGAAAGCGUGGGGAGCAAACAGG